rnacentral:rRNA from 1 species
UUUGGUGAUCAUAGCGCCAAUGAAACACCCGAUCCCAUCCCGAACUCGGCAGUUAAGCAUGGUCGCGCCGAUGGUACUGCAGCU